GACGAACGCUGGCGGCGUGCUUAACACAUGCAAGUCGAACGGUGAAGCACCUUCCUUUUGGUGGGUGUGGAUGAGUGGCGAACGGGUGGGUAACACGUGAGUAACCUGCCCCCUUCUUCUGGAUAACCGCAUGAAAGUGUGGCUAAUACGGGAUAUUCUGGGUCUGUCGCAUGGCGGGCCUGGGAAAGAUAUUGUUUCGGUGGGGGAUGGGCUCGCGGUCUAUCAGCUUGUUGGUGGGGUGAUGGCCUACCAAGGCGGUGACGGGUAGCCGGCCUGAGAGGGUGGACGGUCACACUGGGACUGAGACACGGCCCAGACUCCUACGGGAGGCAGCAGUGGGGAAUAUUGCACAAUGGGCGCAAGCCUGAUGCAGCGACGCCGCGUGAGGGAUGGAGGCCUUCGGGUUGUAAACCUCUUUCGCCAGUGAAGCAGGCCUGUCCCUUUUGUGGGUGGGUUGACGGUAGCUGGAUAAGAAGCGCCGGCUAACUACGUG
rnacentral:rRNA from 1 species